rnacentral:rRNA from 1 species
AUUGAACGCUGGCGGCAGGCCUAACACAUGCAAGUCGAACGAGUGGCGGACGGGUGAGUAAUGUCUGGGAAACUGCCUGAUGGAGGGGGAUAACUACUGGAAACGGUAGCUAAUACCGCAUACCAUCGGAUGUGCCGAGAUGGGCUUAGCUAGUAGGUGGGGUAAAGGGUCACCUAGGCGACGAUCCCUAGCUGGUCUGAGAGGAUGACCAGGCACACUGGAACUGAGACACGGUCCAGACUCCUACGGGCGUCAGAGGUGGGGAAGAGUGCACAAUGGCCGAAAGCCUGAUGCAGUCAUGCCGCGUGUAUGAAGAAGGCCUUCGGGUUGUAAAGUACUUUCAGCGGGGAGGCGUUACCCGCAGAAGAAGCACCGGCUAACUCCGUGCCAGCAGCCGCGGUAAUAC